CUUGCGCGCGCGCGUAUCAUCUCUUCUCUCCAAAGAUAUUUCAGCCUAAGAUACAAACACUAAAGUCAUAACUGCUCUUUUCCAAUCACCUAAAAAGAUACAGUCAAAAGAAAGAAAUCAUUGUGCACAUUUGAAUUCAAACAAGCUGACCGGAGACUUGAUCGUGGCGCCACCCAGUCGGAGCGGUGCUAGGGACAAGUACAACCAGUCCAGAGCCACGAGAAGCCAGUGAGCUGAGUAAGGUGUGUCCGUAUUUCUCUUGUUCUAUAUCCCGUGCCCCGCCUUUGAACAGUUAAGGAGUUAUGGGGGCACCAAGACUGACUCGUAUGGCGCAAUUUGUCAGGAGAAGCAGGAACAGGGACGCCAGUGAAGGCUAGCGUGACAGGACUGCGUGACAUAGACGACUGAGAGCGAUUUGAGCAAACUACCUAACGAUGCGGUCGACACCAAGAUUGGAUGUGAUGGCUGUUUAUACUUAGAGGGGCGUUGGCACGACGUGUGUGGACGGGGAGUGAGGUAGCGGAGCAGAAGGAAGGAAGGCCGCCUCCAGCCUGGGGCGCCACGCUGACCCUUGGUUAUAAGACUUGGGCAUGGUCGGGAAGCUUGUCUUACGCCACCCUCGAAUUAUCAAUGUGUAGGAAACCACAGAGGCCGACGCACCACGAACGGUUUAGGUUUGUGGUUUGUGACUAUAUUUUUUCACUGUAGUUAUUUGUAAAGGGUUGCCUUUUUUCUUUUACUUUUCUUUUCAUACCACCGCGUCAGAUUCUGACACGAUUUUUCCAUUUCUUCCGUUAUGGUUACGAUCGACUGUUAUUAGAAGGACACAAGAUUAGUUGCUGACACUUGGGCCGCUGUCACAGCAAGGCACGCAUGAUGGUUAGUGCGGACUCCAGCACCGCAGGCUUGGAGGCUGGGUGGGCCGCGUCACGCGAGGAACAAGGGCAGCAGCGCACGCGAG